rnacentral:rRNA from 1 species
CAGUAGCCGCGGUAAUACGGAGGGUGCAAGCGUUAAUCGGAAUUACUGGGCGUAAAGCGCACGCAGGCGGUCUGUCAAGUCAGAUGUGAAAUCCCCGGGCUUAACCUGGGAACUGCAUUUGAAACUGGCAGGCUAGAGUCUUGUAGAGGGGGGUAGAAUUCCAGGUGUAGCGGUGAAAUGCGUAGAGGUCUGGAGGAAUACCGAUGGCGAAGGCGGCCCCCUGGACAAAGACUGACGCUCAGGUGCGAAAGCGUGGGGAGCAAACAGGAUUAGAUACCCGAGUAGUCCCUGUCUCUUAUAC